CACCGCGGUUAUACGAGGGGCCCACAUUGACAUUUUUCGGCGUAAAGGGUGACUAGAGAAAAAAAACACUAAAGCCACAAAAUCCCCUAGCUGUCAUACGCUAACGGGAACAAGAGGCCCCACAACGAAAGUAGCUUUAACAAAUCUUGAACUCACGACAGUCAGGAUA
rnacentral:rRNA from 1 species